rnacentral:rRNA from 1 species
UACAGAGGGUGCAAGCGUUAAUCGGAAUUACUGGGCGUAAAGCGUGCGUAGACGGUUAUGUAAGUCGGAUGUGAAAGCCCCGGGCUCAACCUGGGAAUUGCAUUCGAGACUGCAUAGCUAGGAUGCGGAAGAGGGAAGUGGAAUUUCCGGUGUAGCGGUGAAAUGCGUAGAUAUCAGGAGGAACACCGGUGGCGAAGGCGGUUCUCUGGGCAUUUCCUGACGCUGAGAAGCGAAAGCGUGGGGAGCAAACAGG